CAACACAACACUUGUGUUACCACCCUGCAUGCCACUGCUGGCUUGCUUCUGAAGCUAAGCAGGGUUGGUCCUGGUCAAUCCCAGGAUGGGAGACCAGGUGCUUCUGGUAAGUUGUGUUGG
rnacentral:rRNA from 1 species